rnacentral:rRNA from 1 species
GAUGAACGCUAGCGGCAGGCCUAAUACAUGCAAGUCGAGGGGCAGCGGGUCCAGCAAUGGAUGCCGGCGACCGGCGCACGGGUGCGUAACACGUAUACAAUCUGCCUUUAACAGGGGGAUAGCCCGGAGAAAUCCGGAUUAAUACCCCAUAAUAUAUUGAGUGGCAUCACUUGAUAUUGAAAGCUCCGGCGGUUAAAGAUGAGUAUGCGCCUGAUUAGUUAGUUGGUGAGGUAACGGCUCACCAAGACGACGAUCAGUAGGGGAUCUGAGAGGACUACCCCCCACACGGAUACUGAGACACGGAUCCGACUCCUACGGGAGGCAGCAGUAAGGAAUAUUGGACAAUGCCCGCAAGGGUGAUCCAGCCAUGCCGCGUGCAGGAAGACGGCCCUAUGGGUUGUAAACUGCUUUUACACCGGAGAAAACCCCCGCUCGUGAGCGGGGCUGAUAGUAUGGUGAGAAUAAGCAUCGGCUAACUUCGUGCCAGCA